CCAAAUAAAGCUUAGUUUCUAGAAAACUUUUUUUUUUCCCUGCAGUAUCAAUUUAUUAAGUAUUUACAUGUUGCUUAUGGAGUUAGGUAACCAGGAAUUGAUCCUCCCCAGAAGCCUAAGUAUUUGAUUUCAGGCUGGAAAAUAAACUUUUCCUGAAUCAAUUCAGCUAUUGGAGAGUAGAUUGGCUGUUGAGGGACAAGCAGCAGUCUAAGGACUAUGAUAGGUGGAGAAGGAGGAUGUGCAGUCAGAGAAGUGAGGUGAGCUGUCCAAACAAAUAGCACAAGCUUGAGAAACAGCUAUGGGUUUGAAAAGGCUCUGGACAUUCCAUCUUCAUCUUUACUAUAUGGUGCCAUGACUGCAUUUGCUCAAGUGUCUCUGCCAGGACUUUGAACUUUUCAAGGGCAGGGACUGAGUCUUGGCCCCUAACUUAGUAGGUGAUGAUCUCUUAUAGACCCAUAAAUGAAUAAGAGAGGACAGCUAGAAAGAUUCAGUUCAGUGCCAGAUUAUAGGAGAUUACAGAAGAUUCUAAGGCCAGGAUAAAUAGAGUGUACCUAAAAGUGCUGUUAUACCAUAAAAUCAAUUUAAUGAAGAGAACUCUCUAAUCUGAUUUGUGCACAAAUUUCACUUUGGUGAAGUUGUAGCAGGUAGAUGGCAUAGAAUGUAGAGAUCAAAGGCAUAGGAUUCCAUAUGAGUCUAAUGCAAUGGACCUAGAAAAGUGAUGAUCUAGGCCAGAGUGAAGGCUUCUCAAAGACAACCGAGAGGGAUGCUGAGCGUGCAUAAAGAUGCCUAAAAGUAGCAUUUCAAGACUUAGCCUCCAAUCUGAGGUGGGGGUGGAGGGGGCACUUCAUUGUGACUUGAGCAUCAAGUUCAGGUUCCUUGGAGAGAGCAGGGCCUAUGGUUAAUUAAAAACUAGAGCUCAAAAGUUGUGGCUGAAGAUGAUGCAUUUUGUUUCUGAUUGGAGUACCUGUGGGCCAUGAAAUCAAUUGAAAACAUAGGUUAGCUGCUCAAGAAAGAUGGAGAUUUGAGGGCAUUAGCAUUUAUGUGUAAUGGUGUAGGAGUGGAUGGUUUCUUUGGAGUUUUUUGUUUAUUUUUACUUGCUUUAAUCCACCAUCUCCCUACCCAAUCCAUGUAUAAAUGCUGUUAGAACAGUAGACAGGGUGGAUAAAGGUUGAUAAAUUGAACUAAGAAAAUUAUGGAGUCAAACAAUUAUAAUGUUUUCUUUGGAUAAAUUUUCUAUUCCUAUUUUCAACCUUAUUGCCUGUCUACUGACUGACUUUCUACUGGAUGCUAUAUGGAUGCCGCUUGCCUUUACCGUGGUGUCAUAAACUCUGAAAAAUCUGAAAAAAUGAAUUUCACAAUAUGACACCUAGAUUAAUAUCUCUUUAGGCAGUUGUGGUCAUUCCUUCCUUCCACAAGCAUGUGCUAUUCAUGUGCCAGACACUGGUCCUGACUCUGGAUAUUGCAACGAACAGUCCCUGGUCUUGUGAAGUUUAUAUUCUCAUAGAGGAGGCUUUGGUCAAUGCACUACACAUGUCUAGGAAUUCUUUGUGCUAUAACUAAUAUAUUUUCCACUGCCAUUCACCACAUCAUUUAAUACAAAGGGGAGUAUGCUGUGCACUGGAGAGUAUUUUAUUAUGUGUAAUCACUCUUUCCCCUCUGAUGUUGAUGGAGGUAUUUCCCUUCUUUCCACUUCAGUCAAGAUGAAUCUCAUCUAUCUAUCACAGGAUUCACAGGAAGACUUGUGAACAAUUUGUGUGACAGCUUCAGAAGGAGAUUCUCACUCUUUCUUUUGGUCUCCUAAAGCAACAGUGUUGAUGACUUAUUGUGCCAGGCUGGGAAACCAAAGCAAUCAUGCUGUUUUACCAACCUUACAUUUAACUCCAGGCAAAUGCACUUUUAUUCUUCUAAUCAUCAUGUUUACCACCUGUGGAAAGGCAUAGAUUUUAGAUUCCAAAAGUCUGGUGAAUCAACUAGAAUAUAAUGAAACUUAAACAAAUCUCCUUUUUCUCUUUUGGAGUUCUCAGCAUCCUGCAUAAGACGGCCAUAGUUGGGAAAGUACAUUUUGAGUAGCUGUGAAUGUAGACUGAAUCCAUCUGAAUUCAAAGACACCGUAGACUAAUGUGAGUUUAAAUCACAGCUCCACCACCUACUUACCAACUGUGUGCUCUUGGAGACUGAUUAACUUCUCUGGGUUUAGUGACCUUCAUAUUGUGGCUAUAACAGGAUCAAUCUCAGAAUGUUGUUGCGAAGGUCAAAUAAAAGUGUAUAGACAUAAAUAUAGGUAUAGGUAUAGAUAUAAAUGUAGGUAUAGAUACAGAUAUAUAAAUACACAAGAGACAUUGGGAUGUCUUCCAUUUUCUAACUCACAACCAUCUUUGAGAAAUGCUGCCAGACUGCAUGGGUGAGGGUGGAAUGGCCAUAUUUUUGGUAUAAUGUCCUGUCUCUUCGCUCCUUGUGGACUGGAGAAGAAUGAGUCCCUAUUUUAAUUUGGAUCCAUUAGAUCCUUUCUUCCCAUAUUUAGCACUUGGCAAUUGAAAGACACAGAGACAGGGAGUUGCUGAACUGAGUUACACAAAUUUCAGAGCUUGUUUGGUGGAUACAUUCCUGCUCUCUGAAUCUCUGGGCUGUCUUGGUUCUCCUUGUCCUACCUAGAUGUCACUUUUCCCUUGAAUUCUGUGAGAUUCUCAGUAUUCUUCUAGUAGAUCUCUCUUUACUUGGAGGUGGAUUCUGAUUACUCGCAUUCAAGAUAAACUCUUUAAAUGUCUAAAAUUGAGCACUUGAUAGUCUCUCAAAUCUGCUCUUCCUAGUAUUUCCUGUCUCAAAAUUUGCAUCUUGCCACACUAGUUUCUCUGCAGGACAUCUUGGCAUCUUUUUAGACACUGUCUCUUCAGCAUCAUAUCUAGUCUGUCCUAAAGGCACUUUGAAAUCUGUUUUUUCCAAAUUAUCUUUUCUCCAAACCCUUCAUUCAGUGACUGCUCUCUCACCUGGACCCAUUGCUCUCCAGACGGCUUUUUCAACUUCUACUCUAGUUUUCCUUCCAUUCAUUCUCCAUGCAAAAGCCAGAGGAAGAGGAAUUCUGCCAAAAGUGGAUCAUGUAGCACAUCUGCUGAAAUCCUUUCAAUGCCCCUCCACUGUCCUUGGAAUAAAAUGACGCUUCUCCAUCAUCAUUUCCAGGGUCCCACUGUUCUAGUACUGUCCACCACUUCAGCUCCACCUCUCACUCCCCUUGCCCAUGUCCUCUUCUCCCAGUGUGGUUUUUGCCUUGGUUUCUCAAAGAUUACAGAUCCUUCCUUCCCUGGGGUCUCUUUAUGGGUGAUUUUCUCUUUUGAUACUGUUCCUUCCAAAGACUUAUUCAACGCCCUCAUCUCCUCAUCUUGCUCAUUUUUUUGCAAGACCUUCUUGGACCUACACAUCCAGAGCCUCUGAUAAUACAUUUCCUUCAUAACUAUGAUGAUAAAGUGUUUAUAAGCAUGCAUGUUUGCAAGGUUAUUUAUUUAAUUAUUUUCUCUCUCAUGAGACUCCAUGCGAUUUGAAGAGGAGACGAUAAAGUCUGUGACGAUGAGACCGUAUGCUCCAUGAAGACAGAGCAUAGAGUAGGUUUCAUUUUCCCCUAUCCCUAAUGGUAUGGGGUGAUGGAUACAGGAUACCUGGGCUGUUUCCACGGCAUUAUGAAGGUGAACAAAAGGAUGAUAUAUGUUGCUAAACUAAGGCAAGGCCAGGUGAGCUGGCCUUAUUCAGCCCAUCAAUUGACCGAGAUUCAAAGAAUCAGGGCCAUAAAGCACCUUGGCACUUUCAGAUGAAAAUGUGAGGUGGAUAUUUUCUUCCAAUUCUCCCUCUAACUGCAGAGUUGUCCUAGGCAGGCAAUGCAAAAGCAUAGAAAUAAACCAAGGUCAAUGAAAGUGCUAUUUCAUUCAGAGGGGAUAUUUUCCAUUCGUUUUAAAAUUAAAGUCUCAUGCAAGUAGCAGAAAAAUACACCACAGAUUCUUUAGCUUGAUUGUUUCAACUUUUAAUAGUGAAGUCAAUAUGUGCCUCCAACUAACUGCUGGGGAUUGUUCUGUGAUUGCCAGGUUGUUUUAUGUAUGUGAAGCAACAAAACAAUAUAAGGUGACAAAUAAAAGAUGGAAAAAUAUAUAAAAGAAAAAAAAAGUUGGCUGUGUGCUACCUCAGGCUUUAAAACUCUUCUUAUACACUUCACCACGAAGUCUAUUAAAGCAAAAUAUAGUGGAAAUACAAUAUACUGCAAUGAAUGUCUUCAAACUAGCAAUUUAGCGCAAAAGCUGAGGGCAGUUCUUAUGCACCGACUUUUAAUACCAAGACGAUUUGUGGUCUCACAAAGUUCCUGCCUUAGGCAAAAGUUGUGCUGAGUUCUAAUAGGUCUAGUUUGUUGGCUGUCAGGAUAAUGGAGAAUUUGGUAGCGGAGGGGCUGGAUGCUGUAAACAGCGGAGAUAAUUAGAAGGUUUGCUGGGAGGAGAGUGAAGCUGGUUUAUAUUCGGUUGCAGGGGAAAGUGUUUGUUCAGGAGACUCCUGGUUGACACAGAGGACCCUGGAUUCCAGAAUGUUUAUUUGGGGAAGUUUUGUGGGUCACUGGACAGGCAAGUUUACUUUUUGAUGGUAAUUCUACUGUUAUUAUUAAUAAUAUUGUAGAAAUUUAUUGAAUACCUACUAUGCACUUAGCUCGGUUCACCCUAUUCUUCAGAGAAGGAAAUCAAGGCUCGAAGGGGUAAGAGAUUUAUCCAAUGUCAGGCACCAGCAAACAGUUGAGGAUUGAAUCUGAGAUAUUACUUGGUGUAGUGACUUAGGCCACAGGUGUGCCAUGGCUAGACACUUUAACGCAUUGCACUGGGCAUUGAACCUGCUUCUCUACAGUAACUCGAGCCACAGCAGUCAGAUUCUUAACCCACUCCACCACAGGGGAAACUCUUAGAGUGUUUUAAAUGAGGAUCCUAUGCACUAAUGCCUGGUUUUGAUUUGGAAUAACUGCAGAGGAAGUUGGCUUCAGAGACAGGAUUUGGGAUCCAGAGUGAGGUUUCUCAUGAAUAAUUAUUAAUGACAUUUUAGGGAUGAAGUUUUCUAGUGAUUUACUCUUUAUUUUUAGCUUGUUGGGGCAAAGUUUGUUUUCUUGCCUGGGAGGAUGAGGUGGCCAUGUCUGCUAGACUUCAGGUGUGACCCCUUAUCCCCCUCCACUUGGCUGCCUUACCAGUUGAAUCAUGUCAAGGAGAGUAAGAAAAUUCAAAGAUGACUUCCCAUAAGUU
ensembl:lncRNA